rnacentral:rRNA from 1 species
AGUGAACGCUGGCGGUAGGCCUAACACAUGCAAGUCGAACGGCAGCACAGUAAGAGCUUGCUCUUACGGGUGGCGAGUGGCGGACGGGUGAGGAAUACAUCGGAAUCUACUUUUUCGUGGGGGAUAACGUAGGGAAACUUACGCUAAUACCGCAUACGACCUACGGGUGAAAGCAGGGGAUCUUCGGACCUUGCGCGAUUGAAUGAGCCGAUGUCGGAUUAGCUAGUUGGCGGGGUAAAGGCCCACCAAGGCGACGAUCCGUAGCUGGUCUGAGAGGAUGAUCAGCCACACUGGAACUGGGAAACGGUCCAGACUCCUACGGGAGGCAGCAGUGGGGAAUAUUGGACAAUGGGCGCAAGCCUGAUCCAGCCAUACCGCGUGGGUGAAGAAGGCCUUCGGGUUGUAAAGCCCUUUUGUUGGGAAAGAAAAGCAGCAGGUUAAUACCCCGCUGUUCUGACGGUACCCAAAGAAUAAGCACCGGCUAACUUCGUG